rnacentral:rRNA from 1 species
UUAAAAAUGUAAACGGGAAUUUUAAAUUAUUAGUAGUUAUAUCUUGAAAGUUAAAGAAUUUGGCGGUAUUUUAGUCUUUUCAGAGGAACCUGUUUCAUAAAUGAUAAUCCACGAUUAAUUAAACUUAUAUUUUUAAUUUGUAUAUCGUCGUAGUUUGAAUAUUUUUGUAGAAUUUCAAUGUUCAAUAAAUUAGAUUAAAUUAUAAAUCAGAUCAAGGUGCAGUUUAUAUAUAAGUGAUGAUGGGUUACAAUAAAAUAAUUUUUGGAUUUUAUAUUGAAAUUUAUAAAUGAAAAUGGAUUUGAUAGUAAUUUAAAUUAUUUAAUUUAAAUGAUUUUAGCUCUAAAAUAUG